CAAGCAAAUGCUUGGAAUAAAAAGAAAGAAUUACAUUGAAUCUUUUAAAAGACUCAGUUUUCCAACCUGGGCUGGCUAAGCAGCAGCCUGAAGGAACUAAGACAGCCCUGCAUGACCUGGCCGCUGCCUGCUAUUCCAGGAUUCUCUCCUGCAGCUUCUCGCCUCGUUUAUUCUCUAGUAAUGCAGAAUAGCAUGUGGCUCUACCCAUGUUCUGACAGACUGAAUAAAUACUGAAAGAAUG